rnacentral:rRNA from 1 species
CGGCGUGCUUAACACAUGCAAGUCGAACGGAAAGGCCCUGCUUUUGUGGGGUGCUCGAGUGGCGAACGGGUGAGUAACACGUGAGUAACCUGCCCUUGACUUUGGGAUAACUUCAGGAAACUGGGGCUAAUACCGGAUAGGAGCUCCUGCUGCAUGGUGGGGGUUGGAAAGUUUCGGCGGUUGGGGAUGGACUCGCGGCUUAUCAGCUUGUUGGUGGGGUAGUGGCUUACCAAGGCUUUGACGGGUAGCCGGCCUGAGAGGGUGACCGGCCACAUUGGGACUGAGAUACGGCCCAGACUCCUACGGGAGGCAGCAGUGGGGAAUAUUGCACAAUGGGCGGAAGCCUGAUGCAGCAACGCCGCGUGCGGGAUGACGGCCUUCGGGUUGUAAACCGCUUUCGCCUGUGACGAAGCGUGAGUGACGGUAAUGGGUAAAGAAGCACCGGCUAACUACGUGCCAGCAGCCGCGGUGAUACGUAGGGUGCGAGCGUUGUCCGGAUUUAUUGGGCGUAAAGGGCUCGUAGGUGGUUGAUCGCGUCGGAAGUGUAAUCUUGGGGCUUAACCCUGAGCGUGCUUUCGAUACGGGUUGACUUGAGGAAGGUAGGGGAGAAUGGAAUUCCUGGUGGAGCGGUGGAAUGCGCAGAUAUCAGGAGGAACACCAGUGGCGAAGGCGGUUCUCUGGGCCUUUCCUGACGCUGAGGAGCGAAAGCGUGGGGAGCGAACAGGCUUAGAUACCCUGGUAGUCCACGCUGUAAACGGUGGGUACUAGGUGUGGGGUCCAUUCCACGGGUUCCGUGCCGUAGCUAACGCUUUAAGUACCCCGCCUGGGGAGUACGGCCGCAAGGCUAAAACUCAAAGGAAUUGACGGGGCCCCGCACAAGCGGCGGAGCAUGCGGAUUAAUUCGAUGCAACGCGUAGAACCUUACCUGGGUUUGACAUGGAUCGGGAGUGCUCAGAGAUGGGUGUGCCUCUUUUGGGGUCGGUUCACAGGUGGUGCAUGGCUGUCGUCAGCUCGUGUCGUGAGAUGUUGGGUUAAGUCCCGCAACGAGCGCAACCCUUGUUCACUGUUGCCAGCACGUUAUGGUGGGGACUCAGUGGAGACCGCCGGGGUCAACUCGGAGGAAGGUGGGGAUGACGUCAAGUCAUCAUGCCCCUUAUGUCCAGGGCUUCACGCAUGCUACAAUGGCUGGUACAGAGAGUGGCGAGCCUGUGAGGGUGAGCGAAUCUCGGAAAGCCGGUCUCAGUUCGGAUUGGGGUCUGCAACUCGACCUCAUGAAGUCGGAGUCGCUAGUAAUCGCAGAUCAGCAACGCUGCGGUGAAUACGUUCCCGGGGCUUGUACACACCGCCCGUCAAGUCAUGAAAGUUGGUAACACCCGAAGCCGGUGGCCUAACCGUUGUGGGGGAGCCGUCGAAGGUGGGACUGGUGAUUAGGACUAAGUCA